rnacentral:tRNA from 2 species
UAGGAGGUUGCAUAAAGUGAAGUGCAAUAGAUUUUGAGUCUUUUGGUACAGGUUCGAUUCCUGUUCUUCUA